rnacentral:rRNA from 1 species
AGCUCCAAUAGCGUAUACUAAUGUUGUUGCAGUUAAAAAGCUCGUAGUCGGAUUUCAGUUUAUCGGACGAUCCACAAACGGAUCUUUUCGAUUAACUUCAUUGAUACGAACUCUCAUCUGAUUUAUUUCCGGUGUUAGCUAGUAUCUCUUUUACUUUGAGAAAAUUAGAGUGUUCAAAGCAGGUUUCGCCUGAAUAUUACUCUUGGAAUAAUGAUAUAGGACUUUGGUUCUAAUUUGUUGGUGUAUUGGGACCGGAGUAAUGAUUGAUAGGGACGGUUGGGGUCAUUCAUACUGCAAAGCGAGAGGUGAAAUUCUUGGACCUUUGUAUGAUGAACAACUGCGAAAGCAUUUGACUAGGACGUUCCCG